rnacentral:rRNA from 1 species
AAUAGAUACCCAGGUAGUCCUAGCUGUAAACGAUGAGCACUUAUCUGGGGAUCCUCCCAUAGGUUCCCGGAUGUAGCGAAAGUGUUAAGUGCUCCGCCUGGGGGAGUAUGGUCGCAAGGCUGAAACUCAAAGAAAUUGACGGGGGGCUCACACAAGCGGUGGAGGAUGUGGCUUAAUUCGAGGCUACGCGAAGAACCUUAUCCAGGUCUUGACAUGUACGGAUUAACCCCGUGAAAGCGGGGCCACAGCUUCGGCUGGAACGUGCACAGGUGCUGCAUGGCUGUCGUCAGCUCGUGUCGUGAGAUGUCGGGUUAAGUCCCUUAACGAGCGAAACCCUUGUCUCUAGUUGCCAGCGAGUAAUGUCGGGGACUCUAGAGAGACUGCCGGUGGUUAAACCGGAGGAAGGCGGGGAUGACGUCAAGUCCUCAUGGCCUUUAUGACCGUGGGCUGCACACGUCCUACAAUGGCGUCUACAAAGGGAAGCAAACUCGCGAGAGCAAGCAAAUACCCGAAAAACGGGCGCCUCAGUUCGGAUUGCGUA